rnacentral:rRNA from 1 species
UCCAGACUCCUACGGGAGGCAGCAGCGGGGAAUAUUGCACAAUGGGGGAAACCCUGAUGCAGCGACGCCGCGUGAGCGAAGAAGUACCUCGGUAUGUAAAGCUCUCUCAGCAGGGAAGAAGAUGACGGUACCUGACCAAGAAGCUCCGGCUAAAUACGUGCCAGCAGCCGCGGUAAUACGUAUGGAGCAAGCGUUAUCCGGAUUUACUGGGUGUAAAGGGAGCGUAGACGGCGAUGCAAGUCUGAAGUGAAAGGCGGGGGCCCAACCCCCGGACUGCUUUGGAAACUGUAUGGCUGGAGUGCAGGAGAGGUAAGUGGAAUUCCUAGUGUAGCGGUGAAAUGCGUAGAUAUUAGGAGGAACACCGGCGGCGAAGGCGGCCUGCUGGACCGUAACUGACGUUGAGGCUCGAAAGCGUGGGGAGCAAACAGGAUUAGAUACCCCUGUA